rnacentral:lncRNA from 1 species
GUAAAACCGUCUAUAUGCACUGAAAUGUUCCGCACAUCUGAUCUCAAUUGCAAUCAACAUUGGCCAGCGAUUUACCGCUCACUAUCGUAGAUGUCGAGGUUAUCUUUUAGUCUUGAAUGCAGCCAACAUUUUUCAAGACUAUUUCGCCUUCUGAGAUCUCGGUUUGCGCUGAUGAUGAGUCAUAGCUCAGUCUGGAGCCUCUGCAUCGCAGUCGGAAGCAAGGAAUACAGAGCAGCUCACACACUCACACACACCCUCUCUCUCCUCUCUCUCUCUCUGUCUCUGUUUUGGUCAUUAAGGGAGGGUGUGACAGGGAUUCCUCAGAGGAGACGGUACAACAAGUGACUUGAGUGUGUUUUUAUGGGGGGAGGGGUGUGUGCCUGGUUGCAGUUGGCAUAGGGAAAGCUCCAAGCUCAAUGAGCCAUUACUGUCCAAUUUGCAUACACACAGUGUCAUGCAGUGCUGGGACGCAACUGUGAUAUUGUUCAUUUUUGUCUGUAUCAAAUCUUUAUUUGUCACAUGCGCUGAAUACAACAAGUGUAGACUUUACCAUGAAAUGCUUACUUACGAGCCCUUUCCCAACAAUGCAGUUUAAAAUAAAGAAAAUUAACAAAUAGAUGAAAUUAAAAUCGUAUCACAAUAAAAUAACAACGAGUCUAUAAACAGGCUAUAUACAAGGAGUUCCGGUACCGAGUCAGAGGUAGUUGAGGUGAUUCAUUGAGGCAAUGUAUAUGUAGGUUUGCUUAGAUGAUUGAUUGAUUGAAGUACUAUGUACAUGUAGGUUUGCUUAGGUGAUUGAUUGAUUGAAGUACUAUGUACAUGUAGGUAGGGGGGUGAAAAGCAGAAAGUCCGGCUAGCUUGUUCAGCAUUUUAUUGCUUUGGGGUGAUGCUGUUCAGGAUAAUUUUGGCCUCACACUUGGCACUACGGUACUGCUUGUCAUGCAGUAGCAGAGAGAACAGACUGCGACUUGGGUGGGUGGAGCCUUCGUAAAACAAACAAAUGCUUACAAAUCUUGGCAAAUAUUUUCAGCCUCUUGAGGUGAAAGAGGCGUCGUCGUGACCUCUUCACGACUGUGUUGGUAUGUUUGGA